rnacentral:rRNA from 1 species
GGAUCAAUUUAUUGGUCGUGCUAUUGUACGUACUGGUAUUAUUGAUUCCUACCUUCUGACGAACCAUGAUGUCAUUAAUUUGGUGUCAUGGGGAAUCAGGACUGUUACUUUGAAAAAAUUAGAGUGUUUAAAGCAGGCCCACGCUUGAUGAAAUAACGAAAUAGGACGUUUUGUUGGUUUCUAGAACCGACAUAAUGAUUAAUAGGGAUAGUUG